GGCAUGUGAGCCCACAGAUCGUAGAUCUGCCCACAGGCUGUCGGAGUCCCACAGGGCAUCCUCAGUUUACACAUGGGGAGACAAGGCCUGGAGCGCUCAAUGGUCUAUGGAUCUUGAAAGUCUGUGACCAUCCGAGCUUUCCUCUUGCUGGGUUUGGGGUGCCCUAAGGAUCCUGCCUUCUAGGAUUGUCAGCGUGGGGCUGGGGGUGAAUCAUGGCGGUGAUGACAGAGAUCAGCUUCCCAGCGUUCCCCACAAGACUGGAUGAAACUGAUCCAGGUUUGGUCUGCCGAAGGGUUUGGUCUGUGAAGCUUUGCUCCCUCUCACGGAACCUGAGAAUAAUGUCUAAUGAGGACGACUCUGUCCUGGGUGUUUCAGUCUUGCUUUUAAGGUUCAAGUGUAGAUUUAACUGAAGGGCAUCAGCUCCCGUGAAGGUCAAGGUACGUGCAACCCCUUCAGGGGCUGAUGACUGAGCUCUCUUUGCUUACAUGACCUACACUCUUCCUAUCCUGUUCUCCCGUCCCCCACAUCUGCGUGGCCGCCCCACUUUCUGCGUGGCUUUUCCCUUGAAGUCUCGAACAGUAUUCUAGGUGAUCUGCCUCUUGCGCUUGAGUACUUUUCUUCUGGGAUGGGUGGAAGGUCCAAGGACCUCCCAGGCUCCUAAGCCCUCUGAUUCUCAGCAGGUUAAACUAUUAUGGAACCAGACACUGCAUCUGUGUCUUCUCUUAUUUCCUGCAUGCAGGGGUGACCUUUGAGGACAUUGCUCAGGAGCCCAACUGUGAUCUACCAUUUAACGUCUGUGGCUCUCCUCUCUACCAGCAGAGAAACUAAACUGCAUUGUCAUGAUUAAGGUCACAGCCGCUGCCUGCUAACGAAGCCGUGCUCCCCACUCAGCGCCCUGCCCUCCGUGCUGCCCUGUGUGCGCCAAGACUUUUCAUAAGGUUGACCACAACCUUCUCCUUGGGCAGAGAGAGCAGGACGGAUCCCAAGGAGAAAUCGGUGUCCGAGGAGCCAGUGAACACUGGUUGUUGAUCCUGAGUGAGUGGAGCUCCCGCCCUGCGCUCCCUCCUUGGGGGGCUGCGUACAGGGUGCCUUGGGUAUACGGUGGGUUUGAUUCCUGGCCACUGCAAUAAAGACCACAGGAAAGCGAGCCACAUGAACUUUUUGGUUUCCCAGUGCACGAAAGUUAUGUUUACACUCUACUGUAGUCUGGUCUGGCCUGGAUGCUGAGGGCUGCUGACCGAUCAGGGUGGUGGCUGUUGAAGGUUAGGGAGGCUGCAGUGAUUUCUUAAAAUAAGACAAUGAAGUUUAUUACAUCAACUGACUUUUCCUUUCAUGAAUGAUUUCUCUGUAGCAUGUGAUGCUCUUUGAUAGCAUUUUACCACCAGUCGAACUUUCAAAAUCAGGGUCGAUCCUCUCAAAACCUGCCUCUGCUUUAUUGACUAAGUUUAUGGAAUAUUCUCAAUUCUCCGUCGACAUUGCAACAAUCCUCACAGUAUCCUCACCAGGAGCAGAUUCCACCUUGAGAAACCCCUUUCUUUGCUCGUCCCUGAGAAGCAGCUCCUCGCUGUUCAGGUUUCAUCCUGAGAUGCAGCGGUUCAGUCCUGUCCUGAGGCUCCGCUUCCGAUUCUAGUUCUUCCUCUGUUUCCGCCACACCCGCAGUGACUUCCUCCCCUGAAGUCUUGAACCUUCCUUUCGUAAAAACGCAACAGGUGCGAGGCGCAUAAACAAGGGGUGCCUGUGCUCGUCUCCGAUCGCCUCACUCCUAACCUUUUCUGUUGCCCAAGAGAGGCGACACCAGAGGUGAAUUUGUGAGGAUUUAGAAGAUGAAAAUUGCGGGAUGCAGAUGGACACGUAGGAACUGAGGGGUCGCUGGAGUGUGGAGACCACCCUUCUGCCGACUGACGGAGACCCUCCUUCCAGGCUGCUGCUUGGAUCUGUGCGUUCCCCAUUGCUUCUUGGCCAGGCCGAUCCUCUAUCCUAACGGGGAAGGGGGCUGCCUGUACUUCCCUGGCAUCUCACGACUUCUCAUUGGCCCCAGUUAUUCUUUUUACGGCACGCUUCCCUCCCUCCUUCUCUCACGACUCCUUCACUCACCAGCCCUGCCAGGGUGUUCACUGCCAUCGCUUCGGCUUUAUUUGGAAGCUGGGAGCCUCCUUUUACUAUAGUCGUUCUGAAGAAUUCUAAGUAAGACUCGCAUACUUUAUCGCUUCCCCACUUCUCAGAUAUUAAACAAAUUAUCUCGGAGAGGUUUCCUUUUUCCCCCCUUUUUUCCAGAGACCAGCCGUUCAGCCAGAUGGUGAGAGUUGGGGUGUUGUGGGUGUGUUCCGUUCACUCACAUGUGCCUAGUAGGCGAUUCUUGGGGAGCUGCCGAUUUCUGCUCAGCACGCUCGUGUCUUGCUGGCGUCCAGCUCUAGAACAAGUCAGAGCACCCUAGCAGGUGACCAGAUGCAGCAGGGGGUGGUGGGAGGGCACCCUGGUACUCCUGUGAGGGAUCCACCUGUCACCGGAAGGGAGGCUGUGGGGAAGGUCAGAGGGCAGCUGUCCGGCCUGUCUUCAAGGCCAGAUGUCCUGGUAGGAAGGCUAGGCCUGGAGGGCUUCCUCAGCGUGUCAGGCCUCUGCUCCUGCACCACUGUGGUCCCCACGCCCUGUCUUCCCUGUCUGCCAGGGACCCACCACGGCUCCUUCUGUGCCCGUUUUUCCAUGACACCAUCUGCCCAUCAGCUUCAUGGCCUUAAGUCAUUUCAUGUGACUCCACAGUGCCCACGUCUGCCCAUCUUGCCUGCCGCUGGGCUGGCUGCCCCCUCUCGGCUGUGGCGCUGUCACUCUGCUUUGCCCUCUGAGGUCCUUCUCCUCUUCCCCACCUGCCAUCUCCUGGGGCUGCUGUGUCCAGCCUGAACACACCUCCCCAGGGAGGCCCGGAGAGUUUGAUUCCACAGACUCUGGGUGUGGCGGUCGUGGUCAGGGCCUGACAGGCGAGCACAUAAGAACUGGUUUAUACUGUUUUAUGUAUUGUCUUCUUGCUGCCUGGGUGGUAAGCUUGAGGUGGGCAGGCCCUUGUCCUAUGCCUUUGCUGUGUCUCAGUCUGCCAGGUAAAUACCGAGCUGCUUCCCAGCCUGUCUGGGCUUGUGUGAGAGAAAGGGGACCCGAAUACCGCUGCCCCCACCCCAAGCAUGCUGAGUUGGUAGCCAGCUUAGGGUGCCCCAGGGAAAGAAGGACACGACGUAGGCCUACCACUGCACACUCUCACGGCAUCUGCCUUCUUGCAAGUAGAUCGUGGACGACUUAAUCAGAGGGCACCGUUGCCAGGUCGCAGACAGAAGCAGCCGUGCUUCUGAGUCCCCUGCACGAUAGCUGUGCUCCACAGAGCUCGGCACCUGUGCUGGGCGGUGCAUAGAGAUACGUGGUUUGUCCCACCCCCUCUCUUCUCGUACCUUCUUGGGGAACAGAUAUUUUACAGACACGUGGUAGGGGUGCUGUUGGCAUUUUGUUCUGGAAGGCUGACCUGUGCCUUUGGCCGUACCCUCGCUCCCAGUGUGUAAUCUGUUCG